AUGGACCAGGUUCUGAACAAGGUGGGGAGCUACUGGUUCAGCAAGAGGGCCAGCAAGGAGAUCGACUCCAUCGGCGACGACCUCAACUCGGUCUCUUCCAGUAUUGGCGGGGGAGCUAAAUGGAUGGUGAACAAGAUCAAAGGGAAGCUGCAGAAAGCAUUACCAGAUCUUCUCAAAGAAUAUGAUAUGCCAGCAGGCCUCUUCCCACGGGACACAACUAAUUACGAGUUCAAUGAAGAGACAAAGAAGCUGACAGUGUACAUCCCGUCAGCUUGUGACGUCGGGUACAAGGACUCAUCGGUGGUGCGGUUCUUCACCUGUGUGACCGGCUACCUCGAGAAGGGAAAGCUUUCCGACAUCGAGGGCAUGAAGACCAAGGUGCUUGUAUGGACCAAGGUGACCUCCAUCAAGACCGAGGGCUCAAAGGUCCAUUUCACUGCCGGCAUGAAGAAGACCCGCAGCCGCGAUGCGUAUGAGGUUGUCAGAGAUGGCAUCAUCAUAGACAAGUUCUAG
rnacentral:rRNA from 1 species